rnacentral:pre_miRNA from 1 species
UUACCAUGAUGAUAAUGAUGAUGAUGAUGAUGAUGAUGAUGAUGAUGAUGAUCAUCAUCAUCAUCAUCAUCGUCAUCAUUGUCUUGU